rnacentral:rRNA from 1 species
UACGAAGGGGGCUAGCGUUGCUCGGAAUCACUGGGCGUAAAGCGCACGUAGGCGGAUCGUUAAGUCAGGGGUGAAAUCCUGGAGCUCAACUCCAGAACUGCCUUUGAUACUGGCGAUCUUGAGUUCGAGAGAGGUGAGUGGAACUGCGAGUGUAGAGGUGAAAUUCGUAGAUAUUCGCAAGAACACCAGUGGCGAAGGCGCUCACUGGCUCGAUACUGACGCUGAGGCACGAAAGCCAGGGGAGCAAACGGG